rnacentral:rRNA from 1 species
UACGUAGGGGGCAAGCGUUGUCCGGAUUUAUUGGGCGUAAAGAGCUCGUAGGCGGUUUGGUAAGUCGGGUGUGAAAUCUCCACGCUCAACGUGGAGGGGCCACUCGAUACUGCCAUGACUGGAGUCCGGUAGAGGAGUGUGGAAUUCCUGGUGUAGCGGUGAAAUGCGCAGAUAUCAGGAGGAACACCAAUGGCGAAGGCAGCUCGCUGGGACGUGACUGACGCUGAGACGCGAAAGCGUGGGGAGCAAACAGG